AUUAUAGGAUUACGAUUAGAAUCUUGAAAUCAGUAGCAAUUAUAUAGGAGUUGUAGAAGUUAGUUUGAGGGGCCAGACUAUAAAAGUCAUGAGCUAGGAUUAAGCUUAGUACUAUCUCUUUGUUUUCUUUGUUUUCUUUGUUGUUGAAGAGUAAUGGAUAGUUUUUGAAUACUGAGAAGUGAGUUUGUGGAAUAAAUGAGAGAUUGAUUUAUGAGUUAUUGAUUAUGUAAUUGGAGUAUUAUAUGAUUGAAUUAUAUGAGAAGUUAUUGGAAGAUUGAUUAUGAUUGGAAGAUUAUGAUUGUUGUUUAUCGAGAGUUAUGUGUAUUUUGGACAAAGGAAGUCUGUGAUUAUAGAAAUUAUGUGGAUCCAGAUUGAUUGGAAUGAAGUCUAUUUUUGUGACGUUGGAUGGGAAUUAUUAUGUUUUGAGCAGUCUCUUGAGAGUACAGAGUUGCACAUUGUGAUUAUCAAUUGAUGAAGGAGUAUUGUUCCUAGAAGGAAGCAUUAUAGUGUUUCUUGGUGUUUUAGUGGUUUGGAUUACAGUUAAUUGACUGUCCCUAACUUGUAAGCUCAUGCACUUAGUCUUUGCCAGAGUUCUAAUUUUCCUACACAGUUUUAUUCUAAAAAGAAUUUGUAGAAUAAGUAAAAUAAUAAUUAUAACUUUCUACAAAUAGUUAACUAGUGUAUUCUCAGAUAGUAAAUCACGUCAUACAACAACGAAUUUCAUUGGUUUAUACAUUAUCUUUUAGUUCAUGUCUUUGA
rnacentral:lncRNA from 1 species